rnacentral:rRNA from 1 species
UAUGCAGGCGGAUCGUUAAGUCGGGGGUGAAAUCCCGAGGCUCAACCUCGGAACUGCCUUCGAUACUGGCGACCUUCGAGUCCGGGAGAGGUGAGUGGAACUCCGAGUGUAGAGGUGAAAUUCGUAGAUAUUCGGAAGAACACCAGUGGCGAAGGCGGCUCACUGGCCCGGUACUGACGCUGAGAUACGAAAGCGUGGGGAGCAAACAG